rnacentral:rRNA from 1 species
CCUACGGGGGGCAGCAGUGAGGAAUAUUGGUCAAUGGGCGCAAGCCUGAACCAGCCACGUCGCGUGAGGGAUGACGGUCCUAUGGAUUGUAAACCUCUUUUGUCGGGGAGCAAGGCCCGCCACGUGUGGCGGGAAGGAGAGUACCCGAAGAAAAAGCAUCGGCUAACUCCGUGCCAGCAGCCGCGGGAGUACGGAGGAUGCGAGCGUUAUCCGGAUUUAUUGGGUUAAAAGGGUGCGUAGGCGGAAGGUUAAGUCAGCGGUAAAAUGUCGGUGCUCAACACCGGCCUGCCGUUGAAACUGGUCUUCUUGAGUGAGCGAGAAGUAUGCGGAAUGCGUGGUGUAGCGGUGAAAUGCAUAGAUAUCACGCAGAACUCCGAUUGCGAAGGCAGCAUACCGGCGCUCAACUGACGCUGAGGCACGAAAGCGUGGGGAUCGAACAGGAUUAGAUACCCGGGUAGUC